GUGAACGCUGGCGGUAGGCCUAACACAUGCAAGUCGCACGGCAGCACAGUAAGAGCUUGCUCUUACGGGUGGCGAGUGGCGGACGGGUGAGGAAUACAUCGGAAUCUACUUUUUCGUGGGGGAUAACGUAGGGAAACUUACGCUAAUACCGCAUACGACCUACGGGUGAAAGCAGGGGAUCUUCGGACCUUGCGCGAUUGAAUGAGCCGAUGUCGGAUUAGCUAGUUGGCGGGGUAAAGGCCCACCAAGGCGACGAUCCGUAGCUGGUCUGAGAGGAUGAUCAGCCACACUGGAACUGAGACACGGUCCAGACUCCUGCGGGAGGCAGCAGUGGGGAAUAUUGGACAAUGGGCGCAAGCCUGAUCCAGCCAUACCGCGUGGGUGAAGAAGGCCUUCGGGUUGUAAAGCCCUUUUGUUGGGAAAGAAAAGCAGCAGGUUAAUACCCCGCUGUUCUGACGGUACCCAAAGAAUAAGCACCGGCUAACUUCGUG
rnacentral:rRNA from 1 species